rnacentral:rRNA from 1 species
CCCUUAGAUGUUCUGGGCCGCACGCGUGCUACACUGAGUGGAUCAACGGGUCAGGUUGCGCGAAAGUGUUUCCUAAUCUUUAAAUCCGCUCGUGAUGGGGAUUGACGGUUGCAAUUUUCCGUCAUGAACGAGGAAUACCUUGUAAGCGCGGGUCAUCAUCCCGCGCUGAAUACGUCCCUGCCCUUUGUACACACCGCCCGUCGCUCCUACCGAUUGAGUGGUCCGGUGAGGCUUUGGGAUCUGAGCGGAAAGAGCGUUUCGCUGUUUCUGCCCGGAAAACUCAGUCGAACCUUAUCAUUUAGAGGAAGGAGAAGUCGUAACA